rnacentral:tRNA from 1 species
GAGAGCCUAGUAAACAUACAUUACAUGGCUUUGUCAUAGCCAAAUUACAGCCCCUGUGGCUCUCA